GAGUUUGAUCGUGGCUCAGGACGAACGCUGGCGGCGUGCCUAACACAUGCAAGUCGAACGGAAACAGCAUGAAGCUUGCUUUGAGCUGUUUUAGUGGCGGACGGGUGAGUAACGCGUGAGUAACCUGCCUUUCAGAGGGGGAUAACGUCUGGAAACGGACGCUAAUACCGCAUGACAUAUUUUGGUCGCAUGGCCGGGAUAUCAAAGGAGCAAUCCGCUGAAAGAUGGACUCGCGUCCGAUUAGCUAGUUGGUGAGAUAAAAGGCCCACCAAGGCGACGAAUCGGUAGCCGGACUGAGAGGUUGAACGGCCACAUUGGGACUGAGACACGGCCCAGACUCCUACGGGAGGCAGCAGUGGGGGAUAUUGCACAAUGGAGGAAACUCUGAUGCAGCAACGCCGCGUGAGGGAAGACGGUUUUCGGAUUGUAAACCUCUGUCCUUGGUGACGAAAAAAAUGACGGUAGCCAAGGAGGAAGCUCCGGCUAACUACGUGCCAGCAGCCGCCGUAAU
rnacentral:rRNA from 1 species